GCCCCGGUGGCUCAGCUGGUAGAGCGCAUGCCACACCACGCAAGGCCUCGGCCUUGCCACAGCAGCCCAGGUUCAAAUCCGGCUUGGGCC